rnacentral:rRNA from 1 species
GUCACUGCUAUCGGGGUUCGAUUAAGCCAUGCGAGUCGAGAGGGUUCGGCCCUCGGCGUACUGCUCAGUAACACGUGGAUAACCUGCCCUAAGGAAGGGGAUAACCCCGGGAAACUGGGGAUAAUACCCUAUAGGUUACAGAUGCUGGAAUGCUCUGUAACUCAAAGUUCCGGCGCCUUAGGAUGGAUCUGCGGCCGAUUAGGUUGUUGUUGGGGUAAUGGCCCAACAAGCCCGUAAUCGGUACGGGUUGUGGGAGCAAGAGCCCGGAGUUGGAUUCUGAGACACGAAUCCAGGCCCUACGGGGCGCAGCAGGCGCGAAAACUUUACAAUGCGGGCAACCGUGAUAAGGGAACCUCGAGUGCCUGUAUAUGCAGGCUGUCCAGGUGUCUAAAUAACACCUGAAGAAAGGGCCGGGCAAGACCGGUGCCAGCCGCCGCGGUAAUACCGGCGGCUCGAGUGGUGGCCGCUUUUAUUGGGCCUAAAGCGUUCGUAGCUGGGUUAUUAAGUCUCUUGGGAAAUCCGGCGGCUCAACCGUCGGGCGUCUAAGGGAUACUGGUAAUCUUGGAACCGGGAGAGGUGAGGGGUACUUCGGGGGUAGGAGUGAAAUCCUGUAAUCCUCGAGGGACCACCUGUGGCGAAGGCGCCUCACCAGAACGGCUUCGACAGUGAGGGACGAAAGCUGGGGGAGCAAACCGGAUUAGAUACCCGGGUAGUCCCAGCCGUAAACUAUGUGCGUUAGGUGUAUCGACGACCACGAGUCGUCGAGGUGCCGAAGGGAAACCGUGAAACGUACCGCCUGGGAAGUACGGUCGCAAGGCUGAAACUUAAAGGAAUUGGCGGGGGAGCACCACAACAGGUGGAGCCCGCGGUUUAAUUGGACUCAACGCCGGGAAUCUCACCGGAUAAGACAGCGGAAUGAUUGCCGGGCUGAAGACUCUGCAUGACUAGCUGAGAGGAGGUGCAUGGCCGUCGUCAGUUCGUACUGUGAAGCAUCCUGUUAAGUCAGG